rnacentral:rRNA from 1 species
AGAAUCAACGCUGGCGGCGUGCCUAACACAUGCAAGUCGCACGAGAAAGGAGAGCAAUCUCUGAGUAAAGUGGCGCACGGGUGAGUAACACGUGAAUUAUCUACCUCCGAGUGGGGAAUAACCUAGAGAAAUCUGGGCUAAUACCGCAUAACACUUACGAGUCAAAGCAGCAAUGUGCUUGGAGAGGAGUUCGCGGCCGAUUAGCUAGUUGGCGGGGUAAUGGCCACCAAGGCGAUGAUCGGUAUCCGGCCUGAGAGGGCGCACGGACACACUGGAACUGAAACACGGUCCAGACUCCUACGGGAGGCAGCAGUGGGGAAUUUUGCGCAAUGGGGGAAACCCUGACGCAGCAACGCCGCGUGGAGGAUGAAGUAUCUUGGUACGUAAACUCCUUUCGAUGGGGAAGAUAAAUGACGGUACCCAUAGAAGAAGCCCCGGCUAACUUCGUGCCAGCAGCCGC